rnacentral:rRNA from 1 species
GUGAUCGAGGGAAUGCCAGACCCGACUCGAAGUAUGUACUGAAAGUCGUCCCGCAGACCGUAGAGGGUGUAAGUCCCGUAGGGUCGCGUCGUCUGGCGGUUCCCGCCGGUCGCUCUCGAGAGUCGGGUUGCUCCGAAAUGCAGCCUUAAGAUAGGUGGUAAACUCCAUCUAAAGCUAAAUAUCCCCACGAGACCGAUAGAAAACAAGUACCGCGAGGGAAAGUUGAAAAGAACUCUGAAGAGAGAGUCCAAAGCACGUGAAGCUUCCACGAGCCUAAAGCGAGUGAGGGAUUGUUCCCGAAAAGGUAAAUGACAGACAGAACCCCAAGUGCCGUUCGGUGGGGUCGCGAGUCGCCUUUUAAAUGGAUCUAUCCCGAACGUCGAAGGCCUCAGCGUCUCGGCUUCGUGGGUAGACCGGCGUUCCCUCCUGGGCGGUACGUAAGGGUCUGUUACUUUCCUUAGUAGGUCGUAGUGGCCGUUCGAGAGGUGUCGAAGACCCGGGGGCAUGGAAACCGUAUCUUCUGGGCGUUCCCACUGUCCUUUUCUGUCUAGCUACUACUUUAGUAGUGUUAGAAAAAGAAAGG